rnacentral:rRNA from 1 species
ACCCGGACAUGCCUCAGUAGCGGCGAGUGAGCGGCAGAGCUCAGAUUUGAAAUCGCAGCACCAUGCUGCGAGUUGUAGAUUGCAGGUGGGAGAGUCUGCGUAGGCCGGUGUCGAAGUCCCUUGGAACAGGGCGCCACUGAGGGUGAGAGCCCCGUGCGAUGCCACGCUCUACGUUUUGUACUCCCCUCUGACGAGUCGAGUUGUUUGGGAAUGCAGCUCUAAGUGGGUGGUAAAUUCCAUCUAAGGCUAAAUACUGGCGAGAGACCGAUAGCGAACAAGUACUGUGAAGGAAAGAUGAAAAGCACUUUGAAAAGAGAGUGAAACAGCACGUGAAAUUGUUGAAAGGGAAGGGUAUUGGGCCCGACAUGGGAAUCGCGCACCGCUGCUCCUUGUGGGCGGCGCUCUGGGCUUUUCCUGGGCCAGCAUCGGUUCUUGCUGCAGGAGAAGGGGCUGUGGAAUGUGGCUGCCGCGCUUUGCCGGGGCAGUGUUAUAGCCACUGGGCCAGAUGCUGCGUGUGGGGACCGAGGACUGCGGCCGCAAGGUCUCGGAUGCUGGCACAACGGCGCAAUACCGCCGAUCUUGAAACACGGACACA